rnacentral:rRNA from 1 species
CACGCCGUAAACGAUGAAUACUAGGUGUAGGGGGUAUCGACCCCCCCUGUGCCGCAGUUAACACAAUAAGUAUUCCACCUGGGGAGUACGGCCGCAAGGUUGAAACUCAAAGGAAUUGACGGGGGCCCGCACAAGCAGUGGAGUAUGUGGUUUAAUUCGACGCAACGCGAAGAACCUUACCAGGGCUUGACAUCCCCUGACGAAGGCAGAGAUGCCUUCUUCCCUUCGGGGACAGGGAGACAGGUGG